CGUACACUCCUGCGGGAGGCAGCAGUGGGGAAUUUUGGACAAUGGGGGCAACCCUGAUCCAGCAAUGCCGCGUGAGUAAAGAAGGCCUUCGGGUUGUAAAGCUCUUUUGUCAGGGAAGAAACGGUAGUAGCGAAUAACUAUUACUAAUGACGGUACCUGAAGAAUAAGCACCGGCUAACUACGUGCCAGCAGCCGCGGUAAUACGUAGGGUGCAAGCGUUAAUCGGAAUUACUGGGCGUAAAGCGUGCGCAGGCGGUUGUGUAAGUCAGAUGUGAAAUCCCCGGGCUCAACCUGGGAAUUGCAUUUGAGACUGCACGGCUAGAGUGUGUCAGAGGGGGGUAGAAUUCCACGUGUAGCAGUGAAAUGCGUAGAUAUGUGGAGGAAUACCGAUGGCGAAGGCAGCCCCCUGGGAUAACACUGACGCUCAUGCACGAAAGCGUGGGGAGCAAACAGGAUUAGAAACCCCGGUAGUCCCAUGA
rnacentral:rRNA from 1 species